rnacentral:tRNA from 3 species
GGGCAGUUAGCUCAGCUGGUAGAGCUCGCGACUUACAUUCGCGCGGUCAUAGGUUCGAGUCCUAUACUGCCCACCA